UACCCGCCUUGCUCCGCUCGAGUCGUCCUGGCAUCGGUGACGCUCGCGAGCGAGACCACCGCCGCCGCUGCCAUCUCCACCUCUACGGCCGUCGCCUCCACCUCCGUCAUUGCCUCCGCAGCCGGUGCGGCGCCUCCACCUCCGCAUCUCCCUCUCCGGCGAUGAUGUGAGUCCGCUCCCCAUCUCCCUCUGCUGCCCCCCACUAGGCCGUCGCCGUCGACGAAGACCUAGCUCCGGCGCCAUGCCCGCCGCCCACGCAGGCCGCCGCCGCGAGACGCGCCUUUCGUGGCGCUCCUCCUCCUGGCCCUGGUCGUCUCUAGCACGCGCUUCUGUUUCGUGUUGCCUCCUCCUCGGGUAUAUAUAUUAUAUAGCCGGGGGCCAGGGAACCAUCGACAAGAUCGGCCGGCUACUUCCGCUGCUGCUGAUCGUUGGAGUUCUUGUCGUCUGGGGCAUGCGGUGAUGGUGGUGAUGCGUGUAAUGAAUGCUUGAUUAUUAUUAUUUUUGCAUUCUACCUUUCUUGGGUGAUAGAUAGUUGGGUGAACUGGGUGCGGAUGGUGAGAUCUUUCGAUCUGUAGAGCGGGUUGAUCGGGUCGUGGUGUACUAAUCCCGCAAACCCUCCUCUGUUCAAUGGAGUUCAGUUUCAGUGAGAUGGAUGGUGGGGAUUUUGUGGAUUGUGGAUAAGCGAUGAUUAGGGCCGAGGAGUUCAAAAUGUUUGGUUCUUAGAUUUAAUUUCAGGAGUUGGAUUUGGGCAACCAGGAGAUCCUUGGCAUAACAAGUAUGUUCAUGAUAUUGCAAAACACAAGUAUGGCUUACUUUUAUUCCCCACACCAUCAGACCCGCCAGUAGCAUUUGCAGCAUCCUUGUUGUGCAGUGAAAAAGAACCUGCAUUGCUGGAACAGUGAUGACUCACCAACCGUCAGGAGUCUGUCUGCGUGGACUCGUGCAGGCUAUCAAUAUAUCUAAGUACAGCAUGGAUAUUUGUUCUCUUCAUUAGAUACUAUUAUUAUUUGAGUAACAUUGGUUGGAUUAUAUUGUUUGACUAACAGAGUUGAAGAUAUUCGUACUUUGCUUCUUCCAUAAUCAUUCACGUAUCUAUGUUGCUUUAUCAACUUAUCAGAUCCUGCAUUUCCCUUUCUCCUUGAAUUGUAUAAUUUGUACACUAACAUAGUCUAAUUGCUGAGUGAAUCAUGAUUUAAUUGAUCCAUUUGUGACCUUUUGGGUUUUUUUACUAACCUUAUGCUUAACAUUCCUUGUUAUCUCCUUCAGAUUCCUGAGAGCCAUAUGCUUAAAUACAUCCAGCAAGUCUUAGGAGUAAUACUAGCAUUACUUGAAGACCCCAAUGAAUCAGUUCAACUAACUACUGCCCAAUGCUUGUUAACUAUACUGGUUCCAGGUUCUUGAUUUGUCAGAACAAGAUGUUGAUCCCAUCUUAAUAAAUCUCUUAAUAAGGCUGCGGAAUCUCCAGAUACAUGCCACCCUUCCUCGUUUGAUCCUACAUCUUCACGAUGAUGACCUAAGUGUUCGCCUUGCCUGUCGUCUCCUAGCCCCUUUGAUGGAAGUAGAUGGUUUGCCUUUGCUCCUCAGCAAGCAAUAUUUUACUUCCGAUUGCCGUUCCGAUGACAAGGACUUUAGGGACUUAACAAGACAACUUUGUCGACCGUCUCCUGCCAGAGUUUGACAGCUACCUAGAAUCUGCUAUCCAGGUAUACUUUUCUUUUUAGUCGUACAAUGAGAGUUGAGAGACUAGUGAAGCAAAAACCAACUUUGUCGACUGUCUCCUGCCAGAGUUGAUAGCUACUACGUACCUAGAAUCUGCUAUCCAGGUAUACUUUUCUUUUUAAUCGUACAAUGAGAGUUGAGAGACUAGUAAAGCAAAACCCAACACUGUUUUUCUUGUUUUAGGCAUUUGAUGCACCUUGGCCGGUCAGAGCAAACGCAGUUUGUUUGGUGAGUUGCAUGCUAUCCUUUUUUGGAUGACCAACGCUUCAUCGCUCCUUAUUUCUCCCAGGUGUUUGCUACAUUGGUUGGUAGAAUGAGCCAAUCACCAGAUACAUUUGUUUGGGCAGCAGCAUCUUCUGCACUGGGCAUUCUGAUAGAGGUUGAAGGGAACGGUAAUUUCCCGGUGGGGGUGAAUUAGGAUAAUUAAAACUAAAUAAUUUUAAAAAAUUUGUAAGAUAAAUCUAUAUCAAUUUUUAUCUAAAUAUGCUCUAGUUUUAUC